rnacentral:rRNA from 1 species
UACGGAGGGAGCUAGCGUUGUUCGGAAUUACUGGGCGUAAAGCGUGCGCAGACGGUUGCGUAAGUCAGAUGUGAAAGCCCCGGGCUCAACCUGGGAAUUGCAUUUGAGACUGCGUAGCUAGGGGUGCGGAAGAGGGAAGCGGAAUUUCCGGUGUAGCGGUGAAAUGCGUAGAUAUCGGAAGGAACACCAGUGGCGAAAGCGGCUUCCUGGUCCAGCACCGACGUCAGGCACGAAAGCGUGGGGAGCAAACAGG